CAGUUUUGUUCAUUUCUGGUCUAUGAAAACGGAAGUGUCUAGAGGGUUUAGUGCUGUUGAGAAUGACAGUGCUGGAAAACAAACAAAAAUAACCCAGAGACUCAGACUUAUUGCAUCACUGAGUACGGUACAUUUCCCAGGCGUGAGCGCACGCUGCUGAUGUCAUAGGCAAAAGUCUGGUCGAGACCGGAGCCGACAGACGAAUGUUGGGUCCAGUUGGGGAAAGAAAAACGGCAAGCGAUGACACGCGCGUCAUCGGGAAGCUCCUUCAACAGCUUCUCACCCAGCAAAUCCAUCUGUAAAUCAAUCAGAAAAGGAUGAAUUAGUCACUUAGCUAUCUGUAUGCUAAUGCUAAUUUGUCAGAAAAUGUGAUCUGAUGUUCAUCUGAGUCAAGGGUAUGUCUUUAUUGAGAACAACCAAAAAAAUCCUCAUAGUGCUUGUGGAAAAAUUAUGUGAAUCCUUGAGUUAAUGACCUCAAAAAAGCUAAUUGGAGUCAGCUUUUAGCACACCUGGUCUCGUUAAGUCUCGUUAAGGAAAUGAGUUUGGAGGUGUGGACAAUAGCUUCUUUGACUUAUAAAAAACCCUCGAAAUUUUGGAGUCUGCACUGCGCAAGAAGCACACGCUUAUGUGAGUCAUGCCUCGCAAAAAAAGAGCUUUCAGAGGAUCUACAAUCAAGAAUUGUUCAUUUACAUGAAGCUGGCAAAGGUUACAAAGUGAUUUCAAAGACUUUAGAAAUUCACCAGUCUACAGUGAGGCCAACAUUCUACAAAUGGAGACACUUUGGGACUGUUGCUACUCUACCAAGAAGUGGGCGCCCAGUCAAAAUGACACCAAGAGCACAAUGAAGACUCAUCUAUGAGAUCUGCCAAGCGACCAGUUCGUCCCUCAAGCUGCUUCAUGACGUUCAGCGUCUGAUCUUUGCUGGAGGGCAAAUAAGGAACCUGUACCACAGUACAAUCUUAGUCAAUACAUGUGGCAUGUAGUACAGUACACUACUUUGAAAUCAAGUUGGUGAACUAGAUAUUGAAGAUAAAUAGGUGAAGUCUCUUUAAUCUGUCUUUCACAGUGCCCAAUACUGUAGGCAGAUCUUUAUGAUGUGAUGCUGAAUGGGAGAAUUACAACCUAAAAUAAAAUGUGAAAGUAAUUAAAAUCUUAACGUCUAAUAUUUAUGACACUGCAACCAAACACUACAGCAACAUGACUUUCUUUUUCAUGGGAAAACAACUCCACAUGUGCUUCAUAAUAGAAAACCUGACUGAAGUAAAUUUGAGUGCUAUAACCUUGAAUCUGAUCUCCCACUCACUGGCAGUGGAACUGUUCCACAAUAUCUGUCUGAAUGAUACAUUCAGCAGGGCUUUGAGGUAAACUGUGUUUAAUCUGUGUGAUCAUGUAAAGUUCGACUUUUCUCCUAGCAUAACAUGUUUUGUGUGAGAUAUAGCUGGCAGGAUAAACAAAAUAUCGUGUCCUUAAUCAGAAAAAACACAGGUCAGAGAUAUAUUAAU